CAGUAGCCGCGGGAAUACGUAGGGUGCAAGCGUUAAUCGGAAUUACUGGGCGUAAAGCGUGCGCAGGCGGUUCGGAAAGGAAGAUGUGAAAUCCCAGGGCUCAACCUUGGAACUGCAUUUUUAACUACCGGACUAGAGUAUGUCAGAGGGAGGUGGAAUUCCACGUGUAGCAGUGAAAUGCGUAGAUAUGUGGAGGAACACCGAUGGCGAAGGCAGCCUCCUGGGAUAAUACUGACGCUCAUGCACGAAAGCGUGGGGAGCAAACAGGAUUAGAGACCCCAGUAGUCCCUGUCUCUUAUAC
rnacentral:rRNA from 1 species